UAAUAGCAUCAAUUGUGACCUCAGAGUUUGACUUACCCUGUAACUAUGCUCAGCUCCUCAGUGUCGGCGUACCUCUUGGCUACUGCCUGGCUUCCGACUGCUUAGAAAGAUUUGGAAAGGACCUGGAUAGGGAGGAGAAAAAGUGAUGAGAUUGGCAGCUCCACACAGUUGCACAACUGGGUGACCUGGCAUUCACCACAGGGCAGAGGCAGGAGUCGGUUACCUGGAGUGCUGCCAGCCUGGCAAAGGGCUUGCUCCCACGUCCCUGCAGAGUCAAAACAGACAUUCCUGCAUUUGCUAACGACUGCUGGCUCCUACCCCUGCAGGAGAGGAAAAUCCAGUCUGCGCUGGCUUGGAGAUAUUAACCAUCUGGAAUACUGACCUCUGGGAUAAGCCUGAUGUUAAUACCCAAUAGAAGAAGUCAAGCUGGCGGAGAAAGAGGAACUCAGGCACCCAAGCUCAUGGAAAGAACUUAUUUCUAUUCAAGAGGAAAUGGUUAAAAAUCCAUAUGAUAUGACCAUAUAAUGGAAUCUUUCACAAUUUCAGAAAGAAUUACAUACAUCUAGAUGUUGCAAAAUGGAACAAGUGCUAAUAUAUAGAAAAAGCGGAGUCUAUGAAAUAAGCUUUUAUUUGCUCAACAUUCUGGCAUUAAGGGUUCCCCAGAGAGACAGCUGACUCCUGGCCUGAUCACCCCAAAGCAAAGCCCACCCGAAGCUCAGAGUGAACACAGAGCACAGCUUCGUAAUGUCCCCAGCCUUGAGUCAUAGGCUCUCGUAAAAGUGUGACUAGCCUGUAAAGCAUGUGUCUGUGGAUUCUAUUUCUUUAUUUCCAAAUAACUCAUAGUGCAAGGCGCUUCACAUUGCGAGCCCGGAAUAAAUAUCUGUUGGCAAUGACACCCGUGCUAAGAGGUGACUGAGUUCAUUCCCAUGCAUCAGAGCAGAUGUCACCUAGACAUGGGGCAGUCACCUGAGCGGGGGCGUGGGGUUCGUGGCCGCCGACCCCCAGGUGCUCUAUGUUCUUGUUUAAGCACCGGUGGGUGAGGGCAUUCCGCAGUCCUCCCUCUGUGCUUCUGCAAACCUCACGCUCAGGAAUAGCUCUCUGGGGCAGCCCGCGUCCUGCCAUUUGGGUCUGCUCUUGCUGCUGUUUCCUGUUUAUACGGUAAAUGUGGGGCGUGGUGACAACGCCAUUACAAGAUGGCGCCAAUUUCCG